rnacentral:rRNA from 1 species
CCUACGGGCGGCAGCAGUGAGGAAUAUUGGUCAAUGGGCGCGAGCCUGAACCAGCCAAGUAGCGUGCAGGAUGACUGCCCUACGGGUUGUAAACUUCUUUUAUACAGGAAUAACGUGAGUCACGUGUGCCUUUUUGUAUGUACUUUAUGAAUAAGGAUCGGCUAAUUCCGUGCCAGCAGCCGCGGUAAUACGGAGGGUCCGGGCGUUAUCCGGAUUUAUUGGGUUUAAAGGGAGCGUAGGUGGGUUGUUAAGUCAGUUGUGAAAGUUUGCGGCUCAACCGUAAAAUUGCAAUUGAUACUGGCAGGCUUGAGUACAGUUGAGGCAGGCGGAAUUCGUGGUGUAGCGGUGAAAUGCUUAGAUAUCACGAAGAACUCCGAUUGCGAAGGCAGCUUACUAAACUGCCACUGACAUUGAUGCUCGAAAGUGUGGGUAUCAAACAGGAUUAGAUACCCGUGUAGUC